CAGUGAUAAACUGGAGGAAGGUGGGGAUGACGUCAAGUCAUCAUGGCCCUUACGACCAGGGCUACACACGUGCUACAAUGGCAUAUACAAAGAGAAGCGACCUCGCGAGAGCAAGCGGACCUCAUAAAGUAUGUCGUAGUCCGGAUUGGAGUCUGCAACUCGACUCCAUGAAGUCGGAAUCGCUAGUAAUCGUAGAUCAGAAUGCUACGGUGAAUACGUUCCCGGGCCUUGUACACACCGCCCGUCACACCAUGGGAGUGGGUUGCAAAAGAAGUAGGUAGCUUAACCUUCGGGAGGGCGCUUACCACUUUGUGAUUCAUGACUGGGGUGAAGUCGUAACAAGGUAACCGUAGGG
rnacentral:rRNA from 1 species